rnacentral:rRNA from 1 species
AUUGAACGCUGGCGGCAGGCCUAACACAUGCAAGUCGAGCGAGCGGCGGACGGGUGAGUAAUGUCUGGGAAACUGCCUGAUGGAGGGGGACAACUACUGGAAACGGUAGCUAAUACCGCAUACCAUCAGAUGUGGCCAGAUGGGAUUAGCUAGUAGGUGGGGUAAUGGCUCAUCUGGGCGACGCUCCCUAGCUGGUCUGAGAGGAGGACCAGCCACACUGGAACUGAGACACGGACCAGACUCCUACGGGAGGCAGCAGUGGGGAAUAUUGCUCAAUGGGCGCAAGCCUGAUGCAGCCAUGCGGCGUGUGUGAAGAAGGCCUUCGGGUUGUAGAGCACUUUCAGCGAGGAGGCGUUACUCGCAGAAGAAGCACCGGCUAACUACGUGCCAGCCGCCGCGGUAAUUC